UACGUAGGGGGCUAGCGUUGUCCGGAAUCAUUGGGCGUAAAGCGCGUGUAGGCGGCCCGAUAAGUCCGCUGUGAAAGUCCAGGGCUCAACCCUGGGAUGCCGGUGGAUACUGUCGGGCUCGAGUCCGGAAGAGGCGAGUGGAAUUCCGUGGUGUAGCGGUGAAAUGCGCAGAUAUCAGGAGGAACACCAAUGGCGAAAGCACUCUGCUGGGCCGACACUGACACUGAGAGACGAAAGCUAGGGGAGCAAACGGG
rnacentral:rRNA from 1 species